rnacentral:rRNA from 1 species
GCAAGUCGAACGGCAGCAUCACCUUCGGGUGGAUGGCGAGUGGCGCACGGGUGAGUAACGCGUACAGAAUCUGCCCUUAACUGGGGGAAAGUCGCUGGAAACGGCGAAUAAUCCCGCAUAAGACCACAGUAUCACAUGUUACAGGGGUCAAAGCUUUGGCGGUUAAGGAUGAUUGUGCGUCCCAUUAGCUAGAUGGUAAGGUAACGGCUUACCAUGGCGACGAUGGGUAGGGGGCGUGAGAGCGUGGUC